rnacentral:rRNA from 1 species
UACGUAGGGUGCGAGCGUUGUCCGGAAUUAUUGGGCGUAAAGAGCUCGUAGGCGGUGUGCCACGUCGUUCGUGAAAACCUGCAGCUUAACUGUGGGCGUGCGGUCGAUACGGGCAUCACUGGAGUUCGGCAGGGGAGACUGGAAUUCCUGGUGUAGCGGUGAAAUGCGCAGAUAUCAGGAGGAACACCGAUGGCGAGGGCAGGUCUCUGGGCAUUAACUGACGCUGAGGAGCGAAAGCAUGGGGAGCGAACAGG